rnacentral:rRNA from 1 species
AUUGAACGCUGGCGGCAGGCCUAACACAUGCAAGUCGAACGGUAACAGGAAACAGCUUGCUGUUUCGCUGACGAGUGGCGGACGGGUGAGUAAUGUCUGGGAAACUGCCUGAUGGAGGGGGAUAACUACUGGAAACGGUAGCUAAUACCGCAUAACGUCGCAAGACCAAAGAGGGGGACCCCCGGGCCCCUUGCCAUCGGAUGUGCCCAGAUGGGAUUAGCUAGUAGGUGGGGUAACGGCUCACCUAGGCGACGAUCCCUAGCUGGUCUGAGAGGAUGACCAGCCACACUGGAACUGAGACACGGUCCAGACUCCUACGGGAGGCAGCAGUGGGGAAUAUUGCACAAUGGGCGCAAGCCUGAUGCAGCCAUGCCGCGUGUAUGAAGAAGGCCUUCGGGUUGUAAAGUACUUUCAGCGGGGAGGAAGGGAGUAAAGUUAAUACCUUUGCUCAUUGACGUUACCCGCAGAAGAAGCACCGGCUAACUCCGUG